ACAGUCCUUUAACUUCGAUAUACAGUAUAGGGAAGAGCUUUGACGCCCGGCCUACCCUCCCCCCGAACUGAUCGAUUCCCCCCUCGGCCCAUGUCCUCCAACCUUUCGUCCGGCUGCAUCAUGACGAUCGGCCCUGGCUUAUCACCUCAUUGCUGCCUUCGGUUUGGCUUCUGGCGUGACCUCUGCCCCACGCAGCUGCCUCGGACCCGAGGGUCAUCCGACUCCUCGGCUGUAGGCAACGCGUGGGUAGUGCCCUCUGCCCGGCCAAACCCGACGGUUGUAGAUGACCCAGGAAUUCUGGACCCCAGGACCAGGACUCACCUUAACGCCUCACUGGACCCCCAUGGAGAAGCCUUUGGCCUCGGAAAAACAAACAAACAAACAAACAGUGUGAGCGGAAGAGGUGAAGAACGAUGAGAAGAAAGAAAUAGAAUGAAAACACACACAAACUGAUAAGGGCACGAUUUCUUAGCAACUGACGUCUGCUCGCGAUGAGGAUUAUUCGGCGACUGAAAAUGCAAAACUAUAAUAUUUGUGCGGAAUUUGUUUUCAAAAUUUUGAAGGAAAUGUCGAAAAAAAGCAAGGAAACUGACUCCAGCGUUUUUUCCGACAAAAAAGGCAGCGGCACUACAAUCCAACAGAUGGGCACCACGGCAACAGCUAAUGAUGUGUUGCGUAUUAUGGUGGACAAUAAAAUGACAAAGCCAACAGCAGCGAACACAUAUGAUGAAAUGAACAAGAGCAUUAUAUACCAAGGGCAUUUACUCAAGCUCAUCGAGGUUCCAUUCCACUCAAUCUGAAAAAACAAUGCAUCGAUUAAAAUAUCAAUAUUAUUAAAUGAGUCAGCCAAUGCACCUUAAGCAAACAAGUUAUAAGAACUGAAGUCACUAGAAAUUGACAGAGUCCAUUGAAGUACCAAGAUGCAAUUUUCAAUGAUUUUCCCAUGCUGGUAACUUUCUGAAGGAAAAUCUGGCCAAACUCACGUUCCUCUACAAUAAGCUGAAACAAGAUCCAGAAAAUAUAAGCGUACAUUCAUUCCAUUACUAGACGUUAUAUAAAACAAUGAAAUAGGUAUCAAGAAGACUGAGUCCACAGAGCAAUAAACAGGUAUGCGAACAUGUUUUGGAUGGUUUUUGUUAAAAGGCUGUAAGAUAAAAAGAAUUUUGGGUAUAAUUCUAAAGUGGCUG